GAUUAACGCUGGCGGCGUGCCUAACACAUGCAAGUCGAACGAGGUAGCAAUACCUAGUGGCAGACGGGUGAGUAACGCGUGGUCAACCUACCGUUGAGUGGGGGAUAACUAGCCGAAAGGUUAGCUAAUACCGCAUACGUCUCCGAGGGGCAUCCCUUGGCGAUAAAAGGAGCAAUCCGCUCGAUGACGGGACCGCGUCCCAUUAGCUAGAUGGUGGGGUAACGGCCUACCAUGGCACCGAUGGGUAGCUGGUUUUGAGAGAGCGACCAGCCACACUGGGACUGAGAAACGGCCCAGACUCCUACGGGAGGCAGCAGUGAGGAAUUUUCCGCAAUGGGCGCAAGCCUGACGGAGCGACGCCGCGUGUGGGAAG
rnacentral:rRNA from 1 species